CAACUUGCUAACCCGGUGGCAACCGCUUGUAAUUUGGAUAACAAGGAGAUAUUGAACGAGAUGUCAACAACAGGGGGCAGUGAUCGGAGCCAACAGGAGGUAGUGCAAAAACUUCUACAGAAGGGUGAGAUGUCAGCCAUUCCAGUGAGCAGAACACCCGAUCAAGCUUCUCCUUUACCAGAGCAUCCCCUUCUCGGUUAUUGGACCAGGUCUCUGGCCCAUCUUCUCCCAUGGAGAAAGGAAAUCAUUGAAAUCACCGAGACAUAGCCAAGGUAAAUGAGUUGCAGCAUAGAGGAUUCGUAUGGUAUCCCAGAAGUCUUGAUGGAGUUGAUAAGUUGGAGGGGCGUGCAAGCAAGUAAUAUGAGUGGAGGCUGAUGUCCUAUGAUCACAGGCAAUGAAAUCCAGAAAGUGAGAAUCCGUAUGUACAAGAGUAACAUCAAAACUGUCAUUCCAAAACAGAGCUAGACCACCCUUGAGGCCCUCAGGUUCCUUCACAAAAGAGGCCAGCCGCCAAAGCCCAAAGAUCAUGGAUAGCUGCCUCCAAAACAGGGGCAUCCAGAAGGAGAGACUCAUCAAAAGCUGCCGAUGAGUUAGAGCUCGAUUCGUCAAUUCUGCGGCCGGGAGUCUUCAAAUUCUUGUGCUCGCGAAUCUUCAAUUCAUUGAACAGACUCACCCUCGAGAGAGUUGGUUUGUUGAGCUUUUAGUUAACCAAUUCUGUAGCCCGUGGGUAUCGUGAUCCCAGGGACUGGGGCUCGACCAAAGACAGCAUCUUCUGCAGGAUCAUUCUCAGCAAUUGCCCGCAUUCAAGGUACCUGAUUUAUUUUGAUUCUGGUUCUUUUGAAUCGAGGAUGGAUAGCUAUCUUCUUCAAUGCCAAAGCUCAUUUCAAUUCAGAAUUUUGCAUCUCGUGCGUUAUUCCUGCUGAAAGAUCCGAGCUUGAUGUCCUGUUGGGGUUGGUGCUUGUGUGCGGAAGAAUGACAUCCACAUAUUGUAUUCAACAUUAUCAGAAUGUAUGACUGCUAGAAUGAUCGGAUCCUUCUUCAUUCAUUCGAUCUAUUCAUUUUGUACUUCCAGCUCUGUGAAGAUGAGAAAGUGCCUGCGCAUA